UACAGAGACUGCAAGCGUUAUUCGGAUUCACUGGGCGUAAAGGGUGCGCAGGCGGCCGAGUGUGUGAGGCGUGAAAGCCCGAGGCUCAACCUCGGAACUGCCUUCGAUACUGCGGGUCUCGAGUCCGGGAGAGGUGAGUGGAAUUCCUAGUGUAGAGGUGAAAUUCGUAGAUAUUAGGAAGAACACCAGUGGCGAAGGCGGCUCACUGGCCCGGUACUGACGCUGAGGCGCGAAAGCGUGGGGAGCAAACAGG
rnacentral:rRNA from 1 species